AACACAUGCAAGUCGUACGAGAGUUUUUAACUCUAGUGGCGGACGGGUGAGUAACACGUGAGAAUUUGCCCUUAGGAAGGAAAUAACACCGGGAAACCGGUGCUAAAGUCCUAUAUACCUUUUGGUGAAACAGAUAAUAUCUGCCUAAGGAAAAGCUCGCGCCUGAUUAGCUAGUUGGUAGGGUAAUGGCCUACCAAGGUGAUGAUCAGUAGUUGGUCUGAGAGGAUGAUCAGCCACACUGGAACUGAGACACGGUCCAGACUCCUAUGGGAGGCAGCAGUGAGGAAUUUUCCACAAUGGGCGAAAGCUUGACGGAGCAAUACCGCGUGAGGGAUUAAGGCCUUCGGGUCGUAAACCUCUUUUUUCAGGGAAGAAGUUCUGACGUGUACCUGAAGAAUAAGCAUCGGCUAACUCUGUGCCAGCAGCCGCGGUAAUACAGAGGAUGCAAGUGUUAUCCGGAAUUAUUGGGCGUAAAGCGUCUGUAGGUGGCUUGGUAAGUCUGUUGUUAAAUCUUAAAGCUUAACUUUAAAAUGGCAAUGGAUACUGCUAGGCUUGAGUAAAGUCGAAGUAGAAGGAAUUUCCAGUGAAGCGGUGAAAUGCGUAGAUAUUGGAAGGAACACCAAUGGCGAAAGCAUUCUACUAGGCUUUUACUGACACUGAGAGACGAAAGCUAGGGUAGCAAAUGGGAUUAGAUACCCCAGUAGUCCUAGCCGUAAACGAUGGAUACUAGACAUUGCGUGCAUCGAUCCGCGUGGUGUCAUAGCUAACGCGUUAAGUAUCCCGCCUGGGGAGUAUGCUCGCAAGGGUGAAACUCAAAGGAAUUGACGGGGGCCCGCACAAGCGGUGAGCAUGUGUUUAAUUUGAUGCACGCGAAGAAUCUUUACCAGGUUGACAUAGUGUAUUUUUGAAAGAAAAGUGCUUCGCAGACACAAUAACAGUGUGCAUGCUGUCGUCAGCUCGUGUCUUGAGAUGUGGAUAGGUCCCGGCACGAGCGCCACCCCUCGUCUUUAGUGC
rnacentral:rRNA from 1 species